AUUGAACGCUGGCGGCAGGCUUAACACAUGCAAGUCGAACGGUAACAUAAAGAAGCUUGCUUCUUUGAUGACGAGUGGCGGACGGGUGAGUAAUGCUUGGGAAUCUAGCUUAUGGAGGGGGAUAACUACGGGAAACUGUAGCUAAUACCGCGUAGAAUCGGGAGAUGAAAGUGUGGGACCUUCGGGCCACAUGCCAUAGGAUGAGCCCAAGUGGGAUUAGGUAGUUGGUGAGGUAAAGGCUCACCAAGCCGACGAUCUCUAGCUGGUCUGAGAGGAUGACCAGCCACACUGGGACUGAGACACGGCCCAGACUCCUACGGGAGGCAGCAGUGGGGAAUAUUGCGCAAUGGGGGCAACCCUGACGCAGCCAUGCCGCGUGAAUGAAGAAGGCCUUCGGGUUGUAAAGUUCUUUCGGUAGCGAGGAAGGCAUUUAGUUUAAUAGACUAGGUGAUUGACGUAA
rnacentral:rRNA from 1 species